UAUGAUCUUUGUAUUUGACUUUCAAGUGAGCAGCUUCUUGCAAUAUCACUACAUGAUUGAUGCUGGUAUUAGAAAGCUCUCUGCAACGGGACAGUUAUGUGGGAGUAAAGAAAUGAUAGACAACACUGUCUGCAAAUACGUUGACGUGUCUUCUCUCUGCUCUGAAAACGAGAAGGCUUCAGAUUUGAAAUGAAAGGCCCCGACUCGAGGAAAGAGUCUGUAGGAGAAGUGGAAGAAAGGCAGAGGAAUCUAAACUUGGGGUCUCUAGAGAAGAAAUGGACCCCCGUUCCCAGUUCUUCAGCUUCCGGAUGAGGAAGGCGCAAACAGGCAGAGAUAGACCUCGGCUAAGGAACCUUUCCUGCUGUCCCCGGCUUGUCUUCCGGUCCUGGCUUUUGCCCAUCCGAUGCAGAGUUUGGUGGCACCCCCGUUCAGCUUUACCCUUCCAGACCGAGUGGUCCUGUGGCACAGCAGGAAGACCUAGCCUAGGAGUCAGGAGACCUUGGUUCAAGCCUCAGUUCUGCUACAAGCCGGCUUUGGGAAGGUCUUUGA